AACGAACGCUGGCGGCGUGCCUAACACAUGCAAGUCGAGGGAGAAAGCCGCAAGGUGAGUAAACCGGCGAACGGGUGCGUAACACGUGGAUAAUCUACCUCCAUGACCGGGACAACUGGCCGAAAGGCUUGCUAAUACCGGAUAAGACCCCGGGGACUUCGGUUCCUGAGGGAAAAGGUGGCCUCUGUAUACAAGCUAUCGCAGGGAGAUGAGUCCGCGGCCCAUCAGCUAGUUGGCGGGGUAAAAGCCCACCAAGGCAACGACGGGUAG
rnacentral:rRNA from 1 species